rnacentral:tRNA from 1 species
UCCUCGGUAGCUCAGUGGUAGAGCAUCCGACUGUUAAUCGGACGGUCGUAGGUUCGAAUCCUACCCGGGGAGCCA